UUGCAUGGCUGUCGUCAGCUCGUGUCGUGAGAUGUUCGGUUAAGUCCGCUAACGAGCGCAACCCUCGUCGUAUGUUAUAUGUGUCAUACGAGACUGCCGGUAAAAAGCCGGAGGAAGGUGAGGAUGAUGUCAAGUCAGCAUGACCUUUAUAUCCAGGGCUACACACACGCUACAAUGGUCUGUACAAUGGGUAGCCAAGCCGCGAGGCGGAGCCAAUCCUGAAAGCAGGCCUCAGUUCAGAUUGCAGUCUGCAACUCGACUGCAUGAAGCCGGAGUUGCUAGUAACCGCAGGUCAGCAAUACUGCGGUGAAUACGUUCCCGGGUCUU
rnacentral:rRNA from 1 species